rnacentral:rRNA from 1 species
UACGGAGGGUGCAAGCGUUAUCCGGAUUCACUGGGUUUAAAGGGUGCGUAGGAGGGCAGGUAAGUCAGUGGUGAAAUCCCCGAGCUUAACUUGGGAACUGCCGUUGAUACUAUCUGUCUUGAAUGUUGUGGAGGUGAGCGGAAUAUGUCAUGUAGCGGUGAAAUGCUUAGAUAUGACAUAGAACACCAAUUGCGAAGGCAGCUCGCUACACAAUUAUUGACUCUGAGGCACGAAAGCGUGGGGAUCAAACAGGA